rnacentral:rRNA from 1 species
AGUGAACGCUGGCGGCAGGCCUAACACAUGCAAGUCGAACGGCAGCACAAGAGAGCUUGCUCUCUGGGUGGCGAGUGGCGGACGGGUGAGGAAUGCAUCGGAAUCUGCCCAUUUGUGGGGGAUAACCUCGGGAAACCGGGACUAAUACCGCAUACGACCUACGGGUGAAAGCAGGGGAUCUUCGGACCUUGCGCAGAUGGAUGAGCCGAUGCCGGAUUAGCUAGUUGGAGGGGUAAAGGCCCACCAAGGCGACGAUCCGUAGCUGGUCUGAGAGGAUGAUCAGCCACACUGGGACUGAGACACGGCCCAGACUCCUACGGGAGGCAGCAGUGGGGAAUAUUGGACAAUGGGCGCAAGCCUGAUCCAGCCAUGCCGCGUGUGCGAAGAAGGCCUUCGGGUUGUAAAGCACUUUUGUUGGGAAAGAAAAGCGGCCGGUUAAUACCCGGUUGUCAUGACGGUACCCAAAGAAUAAGCACCGGCUAACUUCGUG